GAGGGUAUAGCUUAAGUGGUAGAGCGCAUGCCUAGCAUGUCUGAGGUCCUGGGUUCAAUCCCUAGUCCCUCCA
rnacentral:tRNA from 1 species